rnacentral:rRNA from 1 species
AUUGAACGCCGGCGGAAUGCUUUACACAUGCAAGUCGAGCGGCAGCACGGGGGCAACCCUGGUGGCGAGCGGCGAACGGGUGAGUAAUACAUCGGAACAUGCCCAGUCGUGGGGGAUAACACUUCGAAAGAAGUGCUAAUACCGCAUACGUCCUGAGGGAGAAAGCGGGGGCUCUUCGGACCUCGCGCGAUUGGAGUGGCCGACGUCAGGUUAGCUAGGUGGUGGGGUAAAGGCCUACCAAGGCAACGAUCUGUAGCUGGUCUGAGAGGAUGGUCAGCCACACGGGGACUGAGACACGGCCCGGACUCCUACGGGAGGCAUCAGGGGGGAAUCUUGGACCAUGGGGGCAACCCUGAUCCAGCCAUUCCGUGUGAGUGAAGAAGGCCGUCGGGGUGUAAAGCUCUUUCGGCAGGAACGAAACGGCGAGCUCUAACAUAGCUUGCUAAUGACGGUACCUGAGGAAGAAGCACCGGCUAACUACGGGCCAGCCGCCGCAGUAACAC